rnacentral:lncRNA from 1 species
UGAUAAUUCCCCUCGUCACUGAUUUCUCUGCUUUUCAGCUCAAUGUGCUCGCUUUAGAAACAGGGCUGCCUCUCAAAGCGAUCGCUGGGUGACCGGCGCCCUCUAGUGGUGACUUCGGCAAGGACGCUGGAAGGGAGUUAGAGGUUCAAAGCUGACCACCCAAACCCACAGGAGCCUUCUAGCCCUUUCCUGGUUUUGGAGACAGCGGGACAUAAAGGCCACAGGCAGUGGCUCCAGGGAAUUGUUUAUCUUCGGUGGACUCUCCAAGGUGUUAGUAGAGGACUAUUUAAGUGGCAUAUUUACAUCCUGUCUGCAUGGGAACUUGAUAAACAGCUCCAGCAAAUUGGAUGGGAAUGCAGAGGAAAAGAAGAUCUUCACGAGGAUUUCUACAAUCAGCCUUGGCAUCAGCACCCAGCGGCCUCAUUGGCCCUGUGAUUUUUGCUGCCUUCCUUCAGUUGCUCUACUUGACAGCAAAGACUGCUGACAGCCCAGCUGAAUUCCCUAAACUCUGAUUGUCUAUCAGACCAAAAGAUGACAAAUGAGGUUUUCACGCUCAUUGAUGAGCACAUCACGAAAAUGACAUAAUGGUGUAAUUUUUUUGCCCGAAGACAAGGAACAAGAUGUACUGGAAAUCAUUGUGUUUCAUGUUUUUGUUCCCUUCCCACCUUCAUCUGACCACAGUUGUCACUCAGAACUCUUAGAGAGGAGCAGAAACGGCUGCCGUCCUUUGAGUGGCUGUCUGGGUGUGUGUCCAGGUCAAGGUCACACUUAUCAGUGCCCAGGACAUGCUUUUCGUACUGGGAGGGGUUAUCCCAGGAACAUUUUACAGGCUGUUAACUGACAGCCUUAAAAUUGGAUGUGACACCCUGAAUAACACCUUUUGGGGGAGAAAACUUGACAGACACCCAUCUAGAGAAAUAACGACCUAUUUAUGUCCCACCUAAACAAUACUUGAGCAGUACACGAGUUCUUGAAGAGAAGAGUUUGAAGAACUUUGUGAUACUGCUCUUGAGCCACUUUUGACAAUGAGCCCAAAUGAACUUGUUCAGUUAUUCAGGUUGGAGUUAGUAUCCAGGUGAACAGUUUGGUGUAGGGUUUUGUUUUUUUUAGUCUUAUGAAAAGUCAUUCAGUGUCACCCACUGACCAGCUCAGCCUAGACCCACACGCAGGUUCAGCUUGAAAGUCCUGACUUCUGCCCCAUGGGUGGGGCAGGGUUCCCAGAGAGCUGGUGCUUCCAUCAGACAGAUGGCCUGUGAUGAGUCUACAGGGCUUCCAAACUACAACCAGAAAGUUUGCUGUUUUCUCUAAAGGGUGCUUUAUAGAAUUUUAUUUUAAACAAGAUUCUAAAUUCAGGAGGUUAAGCCAAAAAUGGGCAUGAUGGAAAUUACCAUUCAAAUAUGCAUAGUUUUUUCCCCUUUAUUAGUACAGGCCACCAUUUCUUUGGUUUAGUAUAAGCUAACUCAGUGAGCUUGUGUUCUGUUGGC